rnacentral:rRNA from 1 species
AUUGAACGCUGGCGGCAGGCCUAACACAUGCAAGUCGAGCGGUAGAGAGAAGCUUGCUUCUCUUGAGAGCGGCGGACGGGUGAGUAAUGCCUAGGAAUCUGCCUGGUAGUGGGGGAUAACGUUCGGAAACGGACGCUAAUACCGCAUACGUCCUACAGGAGAAAGCAGGGGACCUUCGGGCCUUGCGCUAUCAGAUGAGCCUAGGUCGGAUUAGCUAGUUGGUGAGGUAAUGGCUCACCAAGGCGACGAUCCGUAACUGGUCUGAGAGGAUGAUCACUCACACUGGAACUGAGAAACGGUCCAGACUCCUACGGGAGGCAGCAGUGGGGAAUAUUGGACAAUGGGCGAAAGCCUGAACCAGCCAUGCCGCGUGUGUGAAGAAGGUCUUCGGAUUGUAAAGCACUUUAAGUUGGGAGGAAGGGUUGUAGAUUAAUACUCUGCAAUUUUGACGUUACCGACAGAAUAAGCACCGGCUAACUCUGUGCCAGCCGCCGCCGUAA